rnacentral:lncRNA from 1 species
UUUAUUCACGAUAUGUGUAGCAAGUGCUUUGUAUAUUCCGCAUUAAUUCCAUCAUGGUGUUAAGAUAAUAAUUUUAUGCGUGUUUGUUGCUGUUUGAUUUUCAUUGCAUUUCGAAAUGGAUUCUUAAUUCGCGGGUUCGACAAUUUCAUGUCGAUAUACCGUCGAAGUUUCAAUAAAUUAAUAUAAUAUUUCACCGCGUUUCGAUCCACAUAUGACACUC